AUCUGGGAAAAGAGUUUGAGCAAGUUGCCUUAGACGCAACAACCAAGACAAAUGAUGCCAAUCUAACAAAGGAUUCAAAUCCAAUCAACGAAAGUGGUGCUUCAACAAAUAAUGCCGAACUUGAGUCUGCAAGGGUUGAACCCAAAUCUGUUGGGGAAAAGUUUGUUGAUAUUAUCCCCUCAGUUGUUCGUCAAAAGAAACAGCAAAAGAAUAUAGGGAGGAGGGAUGUCCCUAACUCUUCUUUUCCAGAGGUUGUUCAAAAGGAUCUUCAAAUCCUUGCAAACUUUUGGAAUCAAGUGGAGAAGGAUGAAAUAGAUAUGGCAACAAAGAACAACGAUGCAACCACAUCAAACAUCAUCAAAGUAGUUCCAACCACUCGAAAGAGGACUUCCAGGAAAAAUAAAUAACUUUGUGCUAGGGAUAUAGUUGCUCCUCAAUCUCCAUUUUCCAGAUUGUUGGUACUUUUCUUUCAUUGGCAACAUUAAAGCUCUUUCGGUUUUUUUUUGCUCGUCCUUCUUGUUUGGAGGAUUCCUUUAGCAAUAACAUAUGUCUUCCUUGCUAUUUUGGCUUAUCUUGCUUUUUCUUCCAUGGGUAUUGGCUUGAUCCCCAUGUUUUGUUGUUAUGUUUUUCUUUCUACUUUAAUAUAUGUUUCCUUUUGUUUAAAAAACAAUUAUUGGUUGUGCAUGUAAAGAGUCAAAGUAAGAUAUCCGAAAUGUUUUUCAUACAAGCUAAAGUUGAACUCCCAAAAUAUCUAAGAGAUUAAUGCAUCUCAGUCAC
rnacentral:lncRNA from 1 species